UACGAAGGGGGCGAGCGUUGUUCGGAUUUACUGGGCGUAAAGGGCGCGCAGGCGGCGCAUUUUGUCAGGCGUGAAAGCCCCGGGCUUAACCUGGGAACUGCGUUUGAUACGGAUGGGCUAGAGUUCGGGAGAGGAGAGUGGAAUUCCCAGUGUAGAGGUGAAAUUCGUAGAUAUCUGGAGGAACACCGGUGGCGAAGGCGGCAUUCUGGACCGAAACUGACGCUGAGGCGCGAAAGCCAGGGGAGCAAACGGG
rnacentral:rRNA from 1 species